CGUAGGGUGCAAGCGUUGUCCGGAAUUAUUGGGCGUAAAGAGCUCGUAGGCGGUCUGUCGCGUCUGCUGUGAAAACUCAGGGCUUAACCCCGAGCUUGCAGUGGGUACGGGCAGACUAGAGUGCGGUAGGGGAGACUGGAAUUCCUGGUGUAGCGGUGAAAUGCGCAGAUAUCAGGAGGAACACCGGUGGCGAAGGCGGGUCUCUGGGCCGUAACUGACGCUGAGGAGCGAAAGCAUGGGGAGCGAACAGG
rnacentral:rRNA from 1 species